UUUUAUCAUACCAUUACCUUUCCUCCUCCCCCAUUUUCGUGCAUCAUCCCCUCUCUCUCUAUCACUUUCUUUAUCUCUCUCUAUAUUCAUACACAAGCACACAUUUAUAUCUUCUAAAGAAAAAGCUUUGAUUUGGAGAGUUUAAGAUGAAUUUUAAAGGAAGGGAAGAAGAGAGGUUAGAGAGCUUGGCAUAAGCUUCAAAUUGAGGCUAAUAUUGCUAGGGUUUUGAAGAAUUUUGAAAUUUUGGGAAGCUUAGGGCUUGUUUGGCUUGCUUUAUUGAGGAAUUCGAAGAUGAGCUGGUGAAUGAUAUGCAUUCAUGGAUAUCAAUGUAGUUAGGAUUUCAUUUUAUUUAUACUAAAGCUAAGUAAUUUUUUCCAUGGAGGCCUCAUUCUUGUAUUUAAUUCCUUGGUAGUUGUAUAAAAUGAGAUUUGUAUAACUCAAUCUUUAAACGAUGUAAUGGACUUGUACUCGGAUUAUUUGAAUGUACGAGAGUUUAAUUGUGUUUUA